rnacentral:rRNA from 1 species
UACGUAGGGGGCAAGCGUUGUCCGGAUUUAUUGGGCGUAAAGCGCACGCAGGCGGUCUUUUGCGUUUCCAGUGACAGGUGGUGGCUUAACUGCCACAGGCCUGGAAAUACGGGAAGACUUGAGGACUUCAGAGGGAUGCGGAAUUCCAGGUGGAGCGGUGAAAUGCGUAGAGAUCUGGAAGAACACCAAAGGCGAAGGCAGCAUCCUGGGAAGCCACUGACGCUGAUGUGCGAAAGCUAGGGGAGCGAACGGG